UACCCCUGACAAUGGGCAAAGAAACACCUCAUUGGUGGUAGUGGUCUUGUGUUAGUCAGGGGCAGAAUAGAGGGAAGUCCUUUGUUCAUCCUAGCUCAAUGCCUGUCUUGGUGGCCAAAGCUGUCUCAUGCCUAGGGCAUAAUC